GACCUUAGGCGACCCCGUGGUGCGGGGCAGAGCAGUUCCGGAACGCCAAGAGCCAACUUCGGGCUCCCAUGACUCUGCGUGCCCCAGGAGGAUGGGCUGGGGAGGUGUGACGGCCUGUGAUGCUGGUGGGAGGAGAAAGGCAGUGCCGCAAGCGUGGGGGAAACAAGUCAGCUCUUUGGAGCCCUUGCGGGCGGCCGCAGGGCCGUGUGCCAGGUAGACCGCCCUUCCCUGCCGUCGCACCGUGACAGCCCUAAGCCAAGGCGCUUUUGUCACGAGCGUCGCAUCCUGGUCUCGUGCUUGCACCCUGGUCUCAGGGCUGCGGACUGGAUGACUUACUGCCCGUCCUCGGUGAAAAGCCGAGACAGCGCCUCGCCUUGGACAUCCCGCUGUCUUCCCGCGGGAUCGGCCCCAGCAGCCGCCUGGCUGUAGCCUUGCCUACGACUUGCUCUGCUUGACAUGCCCUUCCUCUCAAAUGUCACAUCUUUGAAGCCUCACCCUAGAAUCUUAUGACUCUUCAUCUUACUGGGACAUAAAGCCCCACACACCUGACAACUGGUGCUGCAACCCAGGUGGCGAUUUUAAGGUGACUCCAUCUGUGGAGAACUGGCAGCUCUCUGUCACUCCAUAAACAGCACACAGCGGUCACGGACCUUGGAGGCAAGGUUAAAACGCAUCCUGACCAACCAGGAAGAUACGAACCAGGGCAAGGCCCCAAAGAGGCGGCGAGCUCAGCACUGACAGGACUCUUCCCUUCAACCACCCUGCCAGAGGACUCGGUGUCUGCUCACAAAUCAGGGCCAGAAGAGCCUAAGGACGACGGCACGCCUGGCUACAAAACAGACUCCCCCAUGUCUGACCCGGGACAGUUCUAUGAUCUUGUCCUGACCCUUCUUGAAAGCUGCGCUAGCCCUAUCCAAUCAGAACAAGAGCUCCUCUCGUUCCUGUGGGAGUGCUUCCUGCAGGGAGACUUUGUCGACUACACACCUGACUGCCUUUGCCUCUGGUUAGGAUGCUCUGCCUACUCCGACUCCAACACCUAACGCUGAUUGCUCUACUGCCUCUCACCGCUCCCCUGCCUCCCUCCUGGCCAGUCCCCAAACAAGGCUUCCUUGCUGCACACUGCUUGGAACAAACUCACCAUUUCACUUCUAAACAGAACACAGA